UUGCAGAGGAUGCUUUUGGCGAGGUGCCUUCCGAGUUCCCUGGAACGGGACGCCAUAGAGGGUGAGAGCCCCGUCUGGUCGGACACCGAGCCUCUGUAAAGCUCCUUCGACGAGUCGAGUAGUUUGGGAAUGCUGCUCAAAAUGGGAGGUAUAUGUCUUCUAAAGCUAAAUAUUGGCCAGAGACCGAUAGCGCACAAGUAGAGUGAUCGAAAGAUGAAAAGCACUUUGAAAAGAGGGUUAAAAAGUACGUGAAAUUGUUGAAAGGGAAGCGCCUAUGACCAGACUUGGGCCCGGUGAAUCAUCCAGCGUUCUCGCUGGUGCACUUUGCCGGGCACAGGCCAGCAUCGGUUUGGCCCGGGGGAGAAAGGCUUUGGNAACGUAGCUCCUCGNAGUGUUAUANCCGUUUGCACAAUACCCUGGNCCGGACUGAGGACCGCGCAUCUGCAAGGAUGCUGGCGUAAUGGUCAUCAUC
rnacentral:rRNA from 1 species